AUUGAACGCUGGCGGCAGGCCUCACACAUGCAAGUCGAGCGAGCGGCGGACGGGUGAGUAAUGUCUGGGAAACUGCCUGAUGGAGGGGGAUAACUACUGGAAACGGUAGCUAAUACCGCAUAACAUCAGAUGUGCCCAGAUUGGAUUAGCUAGUAGGUGGGGUAAUGGCUCACCUAGGCGACGAUCCCUAGCUGGUCUGAGAGGAUGACCAGACAAACUGGAACUGCGACACGGGCCAGACUCCUACGUGAGGCAGCAGUGGGGAAUAUUGCACAAUGGGCGCAAGCCUGAUGCAGCCAUGCCGCGUGUGUGAAGAGGGCCUUCGGGUUGUAAAGCACUUUCAGCGAGGAGGCGUUACUCGCAGAAGAAGCACCGGCUAACGCCGUGCCAGCAGCCGCGGUAAUAC
rnacentral:rRNA from 1 species